rnacentral:rRNA from 1 species
CAGUGAAAUUGAACUCGCUGUGAAGAUGCAGUGUACCCGCGGCAAGACGGAAAGACCCCGUGAACCUUUACUAUAGCUUGACACUGAACAUUGAGCCUUGAUGUGUAGGAUAGGUGGGAGGCUUUGAAGCGUGGACGCCAGUCUGCGUGGAGCCGACCUUGAAAUACCACCCUUUAAUGUUUGAUGUUCUAACGUGGAUCCGUAAUCCGGGUUGCGGACAGUGUCUGGUGGGUAGUUUGACUGGGGCGGUCUCCUCCUAAAGAGUAACGGAGGAGCACGAAGGUUGGCUAAUCCUGGUCGGACAUCAGGAGGUUAGUGCAAUGGCAUAAGCCAGCUUGACUGCGAGCGUGACGGCGCGAGCAGGUGCGAAAGCAGGUCAUAGUGAUCCGGUGGUUCUGAAUGGAAGGGCCAUCGCUCAACGGAUAAAAGGUACUCCGGGGAUAACAGGCUGAUACCGCCCAAGAGUUCAUAUCGACGGCGGUGUUUGGCACCUCGAUGUCGGCUCAUCACAUCCUGGGGCUGAAGUAGGUCCCAAGGGUAUGGCUGUUCGCCAUUUAAAGUGGUACGCGAGCUGGGUUUAGAACGUCGUGAGACAGUUCGGUCCCUAUCUGCCGUGGGCGCUGGAGAACUGAGGGGGGCUGCUCCUAGUACGAGAGGACCGGAGUGGACGCAUCACUGGUGUUCGGGUUGUCAUGCCAAUGGCACUGCCCGGUAGCUAAAUGCGGAAGAGAUAAGUGCUGAAAGCAUCUAAGCACGAAACUUGCCCCGA